GUGCGCAGGGCGGGCGGGGGAGGGAGGAGACAUGAAGAUUGGUGGUGGCCGAGAGGUGAGGGCCGCGCUGGAGGGCCGCGCGGGGUGGGCGACGCUGCUGCAGCCGCGGCCGCGGCCGCCUCCCCCGCCUCCCUCCUUCCCGGCGGGCCUCGGGCCUGGCCAGGCGGGCCUGCGGCCAGCUUCCUCCCGGCGCGGUGCGGGCACCCCGGCUUCUGUUUGACCCCAGGUUGUCGUGGGCACAGUAUAGAUCACACUUGUGAACUAUCUAAAAGAAAUUGUCUGCUGUCCUUUCCUAAUCCAGUGGAUUUAGAUGCCCCCGAAGACAAGGACAGCCCAUUCGGAUGAUCCAGACUCCAGCACCAGUACAUUAGGAAACAUGCUAGAAUUGCCUGGAGCUUCAUCAUCAUCUGCUUCACAGGAAUUGCCAUUUGUUUUCAUGUUUGCUGCUGCAAGGUGAAAUUAUAAAGGCCUUUGAAGUUCUUUUCAUAUUUGGGGCUAGGAAGAUAGUUUAGUCAGUAAAAAGCCCUUGCCUCCAAGCCUGAUGACUUCAGUUCCCGGGACCCACGUGGUGAAAGAAGAGGACAGACACUUGGAAGCUAUUCUCUGGAUUCCUCAUAGUGUCAACGGAAGAAAACGUCUACACCACUGAAAUAUGAAGUUGGAGAUCUCAUUUGGGCAAAAUUCAAGAGACGCCCAUGGUGGCCCUGUAGGAUUUGUUCUGAUCCGUUAAUGAAUUCGCACUCAAAAAUGAAAGUGUCUUGAACUGAUGGUGGUCCUCACUGGGAGAGUUGCUUGUGUCUGUGGGACGCUCGGGGCAGAGGGUGGCUCAACCCUCCCACCUUCACCUCAAGCCCUGCCCUGCAAAAGGCUUUUACUCCUCCUCAUCAUUGCCCAUCACACAGUAACCAGUAGGGCCAUCUGCAAUGCAGGUCAGAUUAUGUUAUACACACUCUUAGGACAUCCAAACUCGCCUUUGCUCAUUUCUCCAGCCCUCAUUCAGUCCCACUGAGGACUCAGGCUGUCCUCAUUCACUCCCACUGAGGACCUUAUACUGCACUGGACUAGAUGUUUGGCGACAUAGCACAUCAUCAUCUCUGCCCUGAAACUGAAUUGCCCUCAGAUGGGCUGUGUAACCUGCUCACAGCCACCUUCCUAUAAUGCCAUGCUUCCUGUUUCCAGAGACAGAGAUGGAGCUUUUUCUUCCUCUGGGUGCAUGUCAGCCUCCCUGUCCUGUGGAUGUUUGUGUGAAAGUGAAAUUUUAACUUGACUUUUAAUCUGGCAAGUGUCAAGUUACAAAGGCAUGCCCGGGCUUAGCAGGACCCAGACAUGUUGGCUCGUGUUGACAGCUCUCUAGAAUGCUAUAAAAUGAACACGAGCUCCCAGGGAUUAGCUUGCAUGUGACCUGUAGCUUAUUUUAGAUUUGCUGGUGGUGUUUGCUGGGUGGUUCAGCCACAAGUUUGCUUGUUUUAAUAGUUGAUUUUAAUGUGUGCCCCUUGAGCUGCAAGGAUAUCAAUAAAGCAUUUAACCUAGCUGCUACCACUCCGUGAACAGGUCACCAGAACAUGGUGUGGCCAUUUCCUGAGUACCAGUGCCUCUGCCAAGGGAGCCAUUUUGUUCCUUUUGGUAGUGACUCUGCCUUCCUGUUUACCCCAGAAGUAGAAUUGGAGUUGUCUAUCAUGUUCUUUUGUCUCCUCAUUGUGACAUUUGCCCUUCCUUUUUAUAUUUAUGGUUGUGAGCCCAGCCUUUAACAGCUGAGCCAUCUCUCCAGCCAUGCCCUUCACUUUUAUAUCACACAGAAAAGGGACCAAUUCUCUUGGCAUGGGAGGGUGGAGCCAGGUCUGGCAGCCUUACUCAUUAGGGCCGUAUUGUAGCUAAAAUCUGAGACCUCAGAGCAUUUUUCCUGCACUGAUGACUGAGUCUUGGAAGAACUUACAAGACUUUCUUUUUCUUAAAGCCACGGUAUCAGUAAAAGAACUCAGGGUAGAUCAAACAUCUCUUGAGGGCCUACUCCUGUGAUUGUAAAAGGUCCCUGGAGCAGAACGAAGAGGCGGGAGAGGCAAGGAAAAAUAUGCAAGCAGUGCAAGGGAUGGUGAAAUUCUCAAGUUUGAUGGUGCUGGUAUGAUAAAAAUUUGGUGGAAUCCCUGGAGAGGGUCAUUUUGUCCGUAACCCCAACAUUCACUGCAUUGGGCUGAUACCAUACCUGCUUUAGGUUGUACCAGGGAUUGAACCCAGAGCUUUAUGCUUUCUAGACAACCUUCUAUCUCCUGAACUACAUCCUCUGCUACUGGGACCCAGAAUUUCUAUAUGAUUCUGGAGGCAACACAACUCAGUCCCUUAAAACUUUCAGGAAGCAAUAUGUCUUCAUCCAAACAAAUGGCUUUAGGUGGUGAUGAGCUGGUGUAAAGAACUCCAGAAUCCAGGGAUGACUUCUCACCUGCUGCAGUUGCCCAUGGCUGAUCAAAUAUGGAUGCAAAUCCCAUGGCUUAACUUCAGUUCAACCACAGCCACUGAACUCAUUGGACUCCUUGGUGUGUUGUACAUCCAUGCCACAUGUGGACGGGUUUUGUGCAAAUAACCUACCUCCUGAACUCCUGGUCCUAGCUGACAGGGCUUUUCAGCAGGCCCUCAAUAUGCUGCUUAGCUUUGUUUCAUUAUUGGUUUUGGUUUGUUUUUGUCACCUUGGCACAAGCUAUAGUCUUCUGGAAAAGGUAAUCACAACUGAGAACAUGCCUCCAUCAAAUUGGACUAUAGGCAUUUUGUGAGCAGUGCCACCUCUGGGCUGGUGGUCCUGGAAUAAAACAGGCUUUCUACAUCUCAGAAGCUUUAUGUGGAGGGAGAACACGAAAAGGGAUAUCCCUCAUAGUUUUCUUUUAUAACAGGGUUAUUUAUAAGCAAUCUUAAGUAAAAGAACAUUUCUGAGUUUUUUUUUUAACUUAUGAUAUAGUGAACAAAAUUUUAGAAACAAAACUUCACAGUUUGGAAUAAAAUAUCUUUUAAACACC